rnacentral:misc_RNA from 1 species
AAGAAGGAUAAAGGAAAUGAAUCCGUUUGUCUUUAUGUGAAGAUUGGUGUAAAGAAAUUUGUUCUUGGAACCUAAGCGAAAGGCGAAAAUCAUAGAGCCAAAUAAAGAUGACAAACCUAGUGAAGAGACUGAUGAUAUUAGUGAAGUCUCUUAUGACGAUGGUGAAUCUAGUGAUGAUCAAGUGAUCUUACUUGUUUGUUUAGGUUAUUUCACUUUGGUUGAUGAGUUUCACACCUCAAGCAAUUGUUUUUUUUUUAAAAUACCUUUUUAGAUGUUGAAAAAAAUAGUUUGAAACUGUUGUUUUAAAGUUCUUAUGAUUAAAAUGUCAAAUUUAAAUUAAAAUCAAAAUUUAAAGGUCUCUAGUGAACAUUUUUGAAAUAAUGUUUUUUUAACAACGCUGAAAUAGCAACGCCAAGAAGAUUGAAAGCCAUAGUGCAUGUAUCAUAAGGACAUUACAAUAAGUUAUCAUUCCAAUUGCUUUUAUAAAAUGUUGUUCUUUUGUUUUUUGUGAAACAAUCAUAUCAUUUUUUUUUUUAUCAUAUAUUAGAUGUAGCUGAAUAGAACUAGUCUUUCUACCAUAUUUGGGUGAUGGUUGGAAGCCAGAAUCUGAUUAUCAGUUUAUGGUAUAUGAUCAUGAUCUCUAUUGGUGUCCCUCUAGUAAAGACAGAUAUUUCUGUUGUCUGCUUGUUUCUCAUGAUGCUUAACUUAGUCCUUUAGAUGGGAGCUAUUUUGGUCGUUGUCUAAGUGGUGCUUCAGGUUUUUAGGAAAACAUAAAAAAUGUCCGUGAUUUGGACUGGUGGUCAUGCAAAGCAUACUCCUAUGUUAUCUAAGCUCAUGCUGAUUGUAUGUGCAGAUGGGAAGAAAGUGGUUGGUCAUGCAGCAACUCCUCACCUUUCAAAGCAAACUGUAAAAACUCCUACUAACAGUGACCAGAAAAAAGGAGCAGAAUCAAAAAUCUUUUGUACGUGCGUCUUGCAACAGGUCAUUCGGAUCUGAAGUUGCUUUACAAUCUCAUUCAAAGGCCAAGCACGGUGCUGCACAGUGAAGGAAGAGGAGUGUGAAUUUUAUUUUUUACGAGUUCGUCACAGGAGUGUUAAGUCGUAAAUGACAAAGGAAAGCUUAGUCUGGUCCAUUUUCUUUUAGGCUUUUGGUGAUCGCAACUGUCUAAUGAACUGUUUACUUGUUUGAUGGACGAUGGUGUCAAUAUAUUGCUACGUUGCAUUUCUUGCAACAGCUGAAACCUAAAGCAAUCUAGGGCCAGUAUGGGUGUAAUUUGUGCUCAAGUAAAAAACUUCACAGCUUUGAAGACAACUCACUACCGGCACAUUGAACUGGUUGGACAAGUUAGUAAUGAAUGAAUAGCUGCAUUUUAGAUGGCACAAGGAUUCUCGUCAUAAUUGCUAGCUUACGAUCAACUGCAACACGCAUGCUUAUACUAAUUUAUCACCCCAAUCUUUUCCUGAUCACCAGUUCAAUAAAAA